AUCAGAAGGGUAAAGUGGAGAUAACCUGCGUCAGCAUGCCCUCUCCCACAAAUUCAGUUUGGUCCGUUCAUCAGUUAGCUGCCAUGUGCCAGGCAUUCUGCCAGAUGCUGGGCAUAUGGAGAUGGAUGACACACGUGGAGUGGACAGACAUAGUGGGAUUUGUUUCCUUAGGUAUAGCAACGAUGACCCCAGAGAAAAGUCGUAGACACAUUUGUCUUCACUGGAAAUAGAGCUGAUAUUUUAAAACCUCGCUAAAGUAUCCUGGCUAUUUUUAAAUGUGCACGUGUCAUUUCAUCAUUGUCCUCUGCAGCUGAUUCCAAAAGCAUAAUUCAAACUAAACGUAAAUUAUCUUUGGUAUUUGCUACAAGUCUUAUUAGACAGUUUCUGGGGGCAAAUCUCUAAGUGAGUAAGGAAGUGUGGCCCAUUACUCGGCAAGGAAGAGUAACUGCAACUGGCUUGAUUCAGAAGCGGUGGCUGCCUGUUAGAGAUGUAUUACAUGUAUUAGAGUGACCAGCCAAGCAGCAAAGACUUGCCUUUCAAUAGCACAUGUUACCCAGAAAAAGAAGCCCUCAUCACAAAGGGCGUUAGCUGUCUUAAGUUACUGGCUCUUUCUAGAACUGUUAAGAGGCUCUGGUUUUCUUACUGAGAGGUCUAAGAUCCUAACCUUUUAGUAAUACCAUGCCUAUGUGAAUUAUUUUUUCCUGUGAUUUUGUCAUAUUUAGAAAGGAAUAAUUCAUUUCCAUGUUUGGAUAUUUUUCUUAGAUUCCUGUCAUCUUUUCUAAGCUUAUUGAUAAGGAUAAGUUGGAGUCCCAUUGUCAUAUCUGAGCUUCCUACUCUCUGAGAAUAGUGAUUUAAGAGGCUCGACUCUUUUGGAAAAUUCUCUGAAGAAAUUGAGCAGAGACAUCAAAAAAUAAAUUACCCCUUGUUUAUAAUCAAAUUCAUUCCUCUUUAAUAAAUUAGCACCUGCCAAAUCCAGUCCUAGCUUCCUGUUCUUUCCGCAACCUGGAUACAAAAGCAUUCCAUUCAACCACCCCUUCUAGUGGCUGAUUUCUUGCCAGUAACUCCCAGCAUGCACUACCAUCUGUUUACCUCUCAGCUGCUUGAACCCACCCUGCUUCCUAAAUUAAUACUAAAAUGCAUUUUCCCAAUGCCAGUCCUUUUGGCUUCUCCUUUAGGCAACAGCCAACUCCAACCUAAUUUCAUAUAACAGUAUCCACCAACUACUGUCCAGGAAGAAAAUACAACAACAAAACAAGGAAAUCAAAUCUGUUUCAAUGUAAGGCCCAAAUUAGCUUCUUGAACACAAUGCUGCAGUCUUAUUAGAUUAUUUAUUAUAAAUAAAUGAAGAUUUGAAUGGAAGAGCCCUUAAGAAGCUAAUCCUUUUUCUGCUCUCUUCUUUUUCAGCUACUGCUUGACCAUGUGGGUAUGGCAGUCCUCAGUGCAAACCUUCUGGGGAGAAAGGUUCUCAGAUCAAUUCAACAGCUGUUUUUAAUUUUUCUUUCUAUGUGAACCUUGGGUAGAAUUAGCCACGUUUUCUAAUCUUGAAAGCUUCUUAUGCACUUAUCUGUGGAAAUUAGAAAAGACAGGAUUCAAAUAGGAGAGGAAAAUGAAGGGGAAAGCCUAGCUCUUCUGGAAUAUUUCUUCUCUCUCCUUUAGACAUGCUGUGCAGAUAAAGAAUGAGAAGAAAGAUGUCUUGUAGGAGGAAGCCUUGAGAAAAUUUAGGAUUAGAUGGCCCUGGAAAAGUUCAUUAUCUUCUUCCUACAUUCAAACUUGAGUAUGGGGGAGGUUUGGGUUGGGGAGUUGUAUAGAUUACAGCAUACAUGUUUUUGUUGCUUAGCAUUCCCAUGAAACCACUGAGUGCUCUUUUCCACGUCUUACCUUGCAUUGUUUUCUUAUAUAAAAUAUUUUUAUUGCUUUGUUGCUAUCAGCAUAAUUUUCCCCCAAGAGAACGACUACAUAUUGUUCUUAGAAAAGAUGAACAAAGUGAAACUUUCAAUUCCAAGCAUGAGAAAUUCAUGCAAAGUUUACAGGAUUUAUGAAUACAGGAAUUAUGAAACAGGAGUUGCCUUCGGGUCCUCACAGGCUAUUUUUCCGAAAUCCUUCCACUCAUAGUUCCCCAUCCGCCUCCCAUACACACAGGCACACAGUUCUAAUGCCUACACGUGUGCACAGGCAAACUCUCUCUCUCUCUGUCUGACACACACAGACACAUACGCAGAAAGUAUAGUCUCCCAAAAGAAGUCCUUACAUUGGACCAAAUAAGGCUACUUAAUUGCUUUUGUGGCAAUUCGUCCUUUUUGUGUUCUUGUUUUUUCUAGCUGCUACUAGCAGAUGACUGUCUAUUAAAUGCCCAACCAGCUGUAUGUUGGCAGCAGAGCAAAAAGCUAAACUGCUACUGGUUCUGCCAGAGAAAAUCAACUUUAUCUCAAGGAGCUGAACUGCCAGGUGGAGUUGAGUAAACUGUGAGGUUGCAACACAGUUGAGGCACACAGCUCACCACCAACGAAAAAAAGCCAACCCAGUUCUGCUUUUGAAUGUCUGCUAAACUGACGGAACUGAGUGAUAUAUACAAGGGUGAAGCAAUAGCCUCUGGAGAAAGAGCCCUAUUGUAUUGACAACUAGAGUCUCACGGAAUGGAUUUUGGAAGAGAAUGAGGAGAAACGGAUCUGGGAGUAGUGGAGUUUGAGCAGAAAGCACUUUGUUAUUGAAACUCCGGUUUUUGGCAUCUCUUCAAAAAAGCUGGAUAUCAAAGAAUGCUUAAAUCUGACACAAAAAUAGAAGAAAAAAUGAGCAAACACUAACUUCCUUCUAAAACACUAGGGAAGGAAUCAUUUGUGUCUGGCCAAAGGGAAUGCCUACUGAGUGAAUGAAUGAAUCAACAGCCUUCACAGAAACAAAGCUGGGAUAUCAGAAUGGAUGCAACUUCAGUGUUACUCUGUUUUUAAAUAUUUUCUUUUCUUGAGUGAGUACAUAAGGAUGUAAGCAGCAGAUGUGUAAGGAAAACAAAUGGCUUAUUUCUAAAAUAUUUUUUCCACUUUACCUUUUUUCUUGAGACUUGCUAGAUUUCAAAGUGCUACAUAAGAUGGGCAGCAAGAAAAGAAUAGGAAUUUCAUACUACACGGCUAUUUGUGGUUUGGUAGCAAAAUUCAUCCAGAAUGCACUUAUCUUUGAUUUCUGACAGAUAAGAAAUACCUUUUUCUAAUUACUACAAAGUUAAUACUCUGAAUAUAUUUUUAAAUCUGAGCUUUCCUUCUAAAAAGUUUCCUAAGGCUUACAUAGACUUAUAAUUUUUCCUAUAUCAGGGGUGAGGGAAGUAUAAUUUAGGUUUUUUUUCCUAAUUUUAAGUGUUUUAAAAAUUGUGUUUUUUUUUUAGACUCUUUAUCUUGAGCUCUAAAAAAACUCCAUUCCCUUUUCCCUGCUGAAUUAUGACAAUUCUCCAAGAUGUGUCACUGGCCUGAGAUGCUAGGCUGAUACAAACCCACACAUCUCAGAAGGAGUGGGUUGACUUCUUAAGAAGAACCCAUUGAAAUGCUUACCUAGAACCUAAUGCUGUGGGGGCAGUGGUGGUUCACUGAUAGAAUUCUCGCCCUUC